rnacentral:lncRNA from 1 species
AAAUGAUAAAUAUGACAAAUACUUCUAACAUGGAAAAUAUUAGUAAAUGCAGGAUUUAUUGUUUUUGUAAGCAUGCCUAUAGCACUAGUGUCACUAGAAGCAUUAUCCAUAGAAAUUGCCAUUAUUUUAUCGCUAAAGCAAAAAAAUCUACAAAUAUCUGAAACAACAACAACAACAACCUAGUAUAAUCCCACUUAGUGG